rnacentral:tRNA from 1 species
CUCUCCGUAGGCUAAUGGAUAAACCGAGAGGCUACGAACCUCUAAUUCUCAGUUCGAGUCUGGGCGGAGAGGC